UUGCUGUGAUGACCAACUUAGGACACCUUUGGAUUAACCAUGAAAAAAAACUCACAUGUGGCACAGCAUU
ensembl:snoRNA SNORD58 Small nucleolar RNA SNORD58